rnacentral:tRNA from 1 species
UGUAAUCUGGUGUUAUUAUGUGGAGCACACUAUGUUUUGGUCGUAGGGGAAAUUUGAAGUUGAUUACAG